GAGUUUGAUCAUGGCUCAGGAUGAACGCUAGCGGGAGGCUUAAUACAUGAAGCCAAGGGGGUAGCAAUACCACCGGCGUACGGGUGCGUAACGCGUAUCAACCUACCUACGACAGGGGGAUAACUAUUCGAAAGGAUAGCUAAUACCCAUAAAACAGGGGACUCGCAUGAGUAUAUUGUUAAAGCUUUGGCGGUUGAGAUGGGCAUGCGUUCGAUUAGCUAGUUGGUUAGGUAACGGCUGACCAAGCGACGAUCGAUAGGGGGUCUGAGAGGAUUAUCCCCCACACUGGUACUGGAUACGGACCAGACUCCUACGGGAGGCAGCAGUAGGGAAUAUUGGGCAAGGGAGAAAGCCUGACCCAGCCAUUCCGCGUGAAGGAAGAAGGUCUUCGGUUGUAAACUUCUUUUGUAUGGGAACAAAUGACGGGUGCGCCCGUAGCUGGUGUACCAUAAGAAUAAGCGACGGCUAACUACGUGCCAGCAGCCGCGGUAUACGUAGGUCGCGAGCGUUGUCCGGAUUUAUUGGGUUUAAAGGGUACGAGGCGGUAUUUUAAGUCAGGGGUGAAAUGUAUUCGCUUAACAGAUAACGGCCAUUGAUACUGGGGUACUUGAAUAAUUGCGAGGUUAUAGGAAUUUGAGUGUAGCGGAAUGAGUAGUGUAGCGGUCAAAUGCAUAGAUAUUACACAGACACCAAUUGCGAAGGCAGCUUACUAGAGGUUAAACUG
rnacentral:rRNA from 1 species